UCUCCGUUGGUGAACCAGCGGAGGGAUCAUUACCGAGUUUACAACUCCCAAACCCAAUGUGAACCAUACCAAACUGUUGCCUCGGCGGGGUCACGCCCCGGGUGCGUCGCAGCCCCGGAACCAGGCGCCCGCCGGAGGGACCAACCAAACUCUUUCUGUAGUCCCCUCGCGGACGUUAUUUCUUACAGCUCUGAGCAAAAAUUCAAAAUGAAUCAAAACUUUCAACAACGGAUCUCUUGGUUCAG
rnacentral:misc_RNA from 1 species